GAUGAACGCUGGCGGCGUGCCUAAUACAUGCAAGUCGAGCGAACAGAUGAUGAGCUUGCUCCUCUGCCGUUAGCGGCGGACGGGUGAGUAACACGUGUAUCACCUCCCUAUCAUACUGGUAUAACUUCGGGAAAGCGGCGCUAAUACCGGAUAAUAUAUUGCACCGUAUUGUUCAAUGGUGAAAUACGGUUUUGCUGUCACGAAUCGAUGGAUCCGCGCCGCAUUAGCUAGUUGGUAAGGUAACGGCUUACCAAGGCAACGUUGCGUAGCCGCACUGAGAGGGCGGUCAGCCACCCUGGAAGUGAGACACGGUCCAUAGUCCUACGGGACGGCGCAGUAGGGAACGGGCCGCAGAAGGCGGAAGCAUGACGGAGCAACGCCGAGCGAGAGACGACGAUGUUCCGAUCGUAAUGCCCUGUUAUUAGGUAAAAACCAAUGUGGAAGGAAACAUGCCCGGAGUGACGGUAACUAAUAAGAAAGCAACGGCUAACUACGUG
rnacentral:rRNA from 1 species